UAGCAUAUCAAUAAGCGCAGGAAAAGAAACCAACAGGGAUUACCUCAGUAACGGCGAGUGAAGCGGUAAUAGCUCAAAUUUGAAAUCUGGCCUCUCGGGGUCCGAGUUGUAAUUUGUAGAGGAUGUUUUGGGUACCGCCCCGGUCUAAAUUUCUUGGAACAGAAUGUCACAGAGGGUGAGAAUCCCGUCUUGGACCGGCGGUAGGGCCUGUGUAAAACUCCUUCGACGAGUCGAGUUGUUUGGGAAUGCAGCUCAAAAUGGGUGGUAAAUUUCAUCUAAAGCUAAAUAUUGGCCAGAGACCGAUAGCGCACAAGUAGAGUGAUCGAAAGAUGAAAAGCACUUUGAAAAGAGAGUUAAACAGUAUGUGAAAUUGUUGAAAGGGAAGCGCUUGCAACCAGACUUGAGCGCGGCGGUUCCCCCGGUCUUUUGGCCGGGCUACUCCGUCGUGUCCAGGCCAACAUCGGUUCUGAGGGUCGGUCAAAGGCCUUGGGAAUGUAUCUACCUACGGGUAGACUUAUAGACCAGGGUGUCAUGCGGCCUCUCGGGACCGAGGAACGCGCUUCGGCUCGGAUGUUGGCGUAAUGGUUGUCAGCGACCCGUCUUGAAACACGGACCAAGGAGUCUAACAUCUAUGCGAGUGUUUGGGUGUCAAACCCGGAACGCGAAAUGAAAGUGAACGGAGGUAGGAAGCUUCGGCUGCACUAUCGACCGAUCCUGAAGUUUACGGAUGGAUUUGAGUAAGAGCAUAGCUGUUGGGACCCGAAAGAUGGUGAACUAUGCCUGAAUAGGGUGAAGCCAGAGGAAACUCUGGUGGAGGCUCGCAGCGGUUCUGACGUGCAAAUCGAUCGUCAAAUUUGGGUAUAGGGGCGAAAGACUAAUCGAACCAUCUGGUAGCUGGUUCCUGCGA
rnacentral:rRNA from 1 species